AAUUUUGGACAAUGGGGGAGACGCUGAUCCGGCCAUCCCGCGUGUAUGAUGAAGGCAUUCGGGUUGUAACGUACGUCUGGCAGAGAAGAAAAGGUAUCUCCUAAUACGAGAUACUGCUGACGGUAUCUGCAGAAUAAGCACCGGCUAACUCCAUGCCAGCAGCCGCGGUAAUACGUAGGGUGCAAGCGGUAAUCGGAAUUACUGGGCGUAAAGCGUGUGUAGGCGGUUCGGAAAGAAAGAUGUGAAAUCCCAGGGCUCAACCUUGGAACUGCAUUUUUAACUGCCGAGCUAGAGUAUGUCAGAGGGGGGUAGAAUUCCACGUGUAGCAGUGAAAUGCGUAGAUAUGUGGAGGAAUACCGAUGGCGAAGGCAGCCCCCUGGGAUAAUACUGACGCUCAGACACGAAAGCGUGGGGAGCAAACAGG
rnacentral:rRNA from 1 species